GCUUUAAACUCUGUGGGAAGCCAAGCUCGCUCUCCGUGGUAGCCGGCUACCGUGAAAAGCGGACCCCCUUCCGCUAAAUAGCCCACCAGGAUUUCUAUUCAACCUAUUUAUUGUAUUACACUGGGGUUGCCCCCUUGGGAUGCUCCUUACUGGAACCCUGCUACCAUGUUGAUAGGAAGCCCAAGCUAGCCCCACAAGAGGCUCUGGGACCAUGUGGAGAGAGGUCAGGUUGUUCCAGCCAACCUGUCUAACGGCCCCAUGCUGACAGCCAGCAUGAACUGCCAGCUAUGUGAAUGAGGCCAUUGUGUUUCUUCCAGACAACCUAACACCCCAACACCCCAACUGAUACUGCAAAUAAAUGAAAUUCAUAGCUAUAAUAUGAAUUGUUGUUGUAAUCCA